rnacentral:rRNA from 1 species
ACGUAAGGAGACAAACGUUAUCCGGAGUUACUGGGCGUAAAGGGCGUGUAGGUGGUAGAGUAAGUCUGGCGUUGAAAUUUUUCGGCUUAACCGGGAAAGGUCGUCGGAUACUGCUUAACUAGAGGACGGUAGAGGCGUGUGGAAUUCCGGGUGUAGUGGUGAAAUGCGUAGAGAUCCGGAGGAACACCAGUGGCGAAGGCGACACGCUGGGCCGUACCUGACACUGAUGCGCGACAGCAUGGGGAGCAAACAGG